AGUCAACAUAACCAAAGGACGUGGAUAAACUCGGGAAACUGAGGCUAAACCGCGAUAGACCAAGAUACCUGGAAUGGUUUUUGAUUAAAAUCUACAUGGCCUUUGGAUUGGACUGCGACCGAUCAGGCUGUUGGUGAGGUAAUGGCCCACCAAACCUGUAACCGGUACGGGCUCUGAGAGGAGGAGCCCGGAGAUGGGUACUGAGACAAGGACCCAGGCCCUAUGGGGCGCAGCAGGCGCGAAACCUCUGCAAUAGGCGAAAGCCUGACAGGGUUAUUCUGAGUGACUUUCGCUAAGAAAGUCUUUUGACACCUCUAAAAAUGGUGUAGUAUAAGGGGUGGGCAAGUCUGGUGUCAGCCGCCGCGGUAAUACCAGCACCCCGAGUGGUCGGGACGAUUAUUGGGCCCUAAGCAUCCGU
rnacentral:rRNA from 1 species